rnacentral:tRNA from 1 species
GCGCUCUUAGUUCAGUUUGGUAGAACGUGGGUUCCCCCCAAAAAAACCCAAUGUCGUAGGUUCAAGUCCUACAGAGCG